ACGGAAACGUGGUUUCUCUCAGAAGUAGAGGAAGAGAGGAAGAAAGAGGGACCAAUACAAAGCGCCAACCCCAGCCAGAUAAAGUAGAACCCCUGUCCCAGAAAUCCUGCCACGAAAUCCAGAAACAACAUAGAAGCUUUCCCACCUCUCUGUGCAGAAGCUGGCUAUCGAAGAAGUUCUCCGACCUACAAAGUACAGAGAGCUUUUUUUUUCUGUAGGACUGAAGAGAUAGCCCAGGAGUUACGAGCACUUGCUAAACCUGCAGAGGACCCAGGUUGGAUUCCCAGUGCCCACAUGGAGACUCACAGCCAUCCGUAGUUCGAGUUCCAUGGGAUCCUACUCCCGCUUCGACCUCCAUGCACCAGUCAAGCACACGUUGCAGGACUGUGUCAUUCAACUUCUGAAGCUUGCAACGAGAUGAUGAGAAAGAAGUGUUGAAGCUGGUAACAAAAGUAUCAAUGCAACCCAACAUCUCCUAAACAGACCUGUGUGCCUAUGGAAACAUCAUUCGGAUAAGGUUAGUAUUGCACAAUAGCAAUACGGAAGGGAUGGAUUUCUUCUUAAAGAGAUAUUACCAUAGCUACAAAAGAAUUGCACACCGUCUAAAAGAUAUGACAGGGCUGAGAAGAAAACUCAGCUGGCAAAGUGAUAGACUUGCAAGCACAGAGGUGAAUCCACUGCCCAGAAAUCAUGUUACGAAAAUGAUGGGUGUGGUGUUGCAAUCCUGGUGCAAGGGGUACUAGAGCUUCCUGGGACUCACUGGGGCUCAGUGGCCAGCCAGGCUAGCCUACUCAGCCAGUUCCAGGCCAUCCAGAAACCGAGGUUGUCCUCUGGCCUCUAGGGGAACGCAAGUGCACCUGUGAAUAUAUAAACCCACACAGAUGCGUGUUCUCUCUCUCUCUCUCUCUCUCUCUCUCUCUCUCUCUCU